GACGAGGCAGCCAGCCUUUUACAAACCUGCCGUACCAAUGAUAGUUGAAAAGACUAGUGAAAUUAAUUGUUGGUGAUAAUGCAAGAAAGCUAUGACUGAAGUGAACACAAAGAAGUUUUGACUUGGAAGCUUUAUGCCAAUAAACCUUACACAGUUAACUAUUAUUUAUUUCAAUUAUUGAACAUCCUCACUUACAUGCAAACUAACUGAUAUAAUCAUAAAGGAAGACGAGGCAGCCAGCCUUUUACAAGUACGAUAGCUCAAAAAUUAAAGAUUUAUAAAUUAGGAAGUUAAGUAAAUCGAUAAACAGAGCUUCUCUAAAAUUAUCGGCGUUCCAACUUUGAAA